UACGAAGGGGGCUAGCGUUGCUCGGAAUCACUGGGCGUAAAGCGCACGUAGGCGGAUUGUUAAGUCAGGGGUGAAAUCCUGGAGCUCAACUCCAGAACUGCCUCUGAUACUGGCGAUCUCGAGUCCGGGAGAGGUGAGUGGAACUGCGAGUGUAGAGGUGAAAUUCGUAGAUAUUCGCAAGAACACCAGUGGCGAAGGCGGCUCACUGGCCCGGUACUGACGCUGAGGUGCGAAAGCGUGGGGAGCAAACAGG
rnacentral:rRNA from 1 species